rnacentral:rRNA from 1 species
AGUUCGAUCCUGGCUCAGAUGGAACGCCGGCGUGAUGCUUUACACAUGCAAGUCGAACGGCAGCACGGACUUCGGUUUGGUGGCGAGUGGCGAACGGUGAGUAAUGUAUCGGAACGUGCCUAGUAGCGGGGGAUAACUACGAAAGCGUAGCUAUCUACCGCAUACGCCCUUCGGGGGAAAGUGGGGGACCUUCGGGCUCGCACUAUUAGAGCGGCCGAUAUCGAUUAGCUAGUUGGUGGGUAACGGUCACUCAAGGCGACGAUCCGUAGCUGGUUUGAGAGGACGACCCAGCCACAAUUGGGACCGAGACACGGCCCAGGACUCUCACGGGAGGCAGCAGGGGAAUUUUGGACAAUGGGGAAAACUCCUGAUCCAGCCAUCCUCGCGUGCGAUGAAGGCCUUCGGGUUGUAAAAGCACUUUUUGGCAGGGUAAAGAAUGGCACGGGAUAAUACCCCGCAACUGACGUACCUGCAGAAUAAGCACCGGCUAACCACACGUGCCAGCAGCCGCGGUAAUACGUAGGGUGCAAGCGUUAAUCGGAAUUCAUUGGGGGCGUAAAGCGUGCGCAGGCGGUUCGGAAAGAAGAUGUGGAAAUCAGAGCUUAACUUGGAACUGCAUUUUUAACUACCGAGCUAGAGGUGUCAGAGGAGGUGGAAUUCAUGUAGCAGUGAAAUGCGUGAUGAUAUGCGUGGAGGAACACCGAUGGCGAAGGCAGCCUCCUGGGAUAACACUGACGCUCAUGCACGAAAGCGGAGCAAACAGGAUUAGAAUACCCUGGCAGUCCGCUGCCCCAAACGAUGUCAACUAGCUGUUGGGGCCUUCGGCCUUUGGUAGCGCAGCUAACGCGGAAGUUGACCGCCUGGGAGUACGGUCGCAAGAUUAAAACUCAGCGAAGGAAUUGACGGGGACCCGCACAAGCGGUGGAUGAUGUGGAUUAAUUCGAUGCAACGAAAAACCUUACCUACCCUUGACAUGUCUGGAAUCCCGAAGAGAUUUGGGAGUGCUUGCAAGAGAACCGGAACACAGGUGCUGCAUGGCUGUCGUCAGUCAGGCCGUGAGAUGCGGUUAAGUCCCCGCAACGAGCGCAACCCUUGUCAUUAGUUGCUACGAAAGGGCACUCUACUGAGACUGCCGGUGACAAAACCGAGGAAGGUGGGAUGACGUCAAGUCCUCAUGGCCCUUAUGGGUAGGGCUUUCACACGUCAUACAAUGGUCGGGACAGGUCGCCAACUCAAGAGGGGGAGCCAACUUGUGAAAACCUGAUCAGUCCGGAUCGCAGUCUGCAACUCGACUGCGUGAAGUCGGAAUCGCUAGUAAUCGCGGAUCAGCAUGUCGCGGUGAAUACGUUCCCGGUCUGUACACUGCCCGUCACACCAUGGGAGUGGGUUUUACCAGAAGUAGUUAGCCUAACCGGCGAGGCCAUCACAGCUGGUAGGAUUCAUGACUGGGGUGAAGUCGCACAAGGUAA